rnacentral:rRNA from 1 species
CCUAACAGCCAUACCACCCUGAACGCACCCAAUCUUGUCUGAUCUCAGAAGCUAAGCAGGGUCAGGCCUGGUUAGCACUUGGAUGGGAGACCUCCUGGGAAUACCAGGUGCUGUAAGGU